GAUGAACGCUAGCGGCAGGCCUAAUACAUGCAAGUCGGACGGGAUUGGAGAGCUUGCUUUCCAUGAGAGUGGCGCACGGGUGCGUAACACGUAUGUAACCUACCUUUAUCAGGGGGAUAGCCUCUCGAAAGAGAGAUUAAGCCCGCAUAAUAUGAAGACACAGCAUUGUGAUUUCAUCAAAUAUUUAUAGGAUAAAGAUGGGCAUGCGGAACAUUAGCUAGUUGGUAAGGUAAU
rnacentral:rRNA from 1 species